rnacentral:rRNA from 1 species
UACGUAGGUGGCAAGCGUUGUCCGGAAUUACUGGGUGUAAAGGGAGCGCAGGCGGGACAGCAAGUCAGCGGUGAAAUACAUGGGCUUAACCCAUGAACUGCCGUUGAAACUGCCGUUCUUGAGUGGAUCAGAGGCAAGCGGAAUUCCGAGUGUAGCGGUGAAAUGCGUAGAUAUUCGGAGGAACACCAGUGGCGAAGGCGGCUUGCUGGGGUCUAACCGACGCUGAGGCUCGAAAGUGUGGGGAGCAAACAGGAUUAGAUAU